rnacentral:lncRNA from 1 species
CCAACCUCUUAUUCAUGACUGUUCCCUUAUUGGCAGGAACAUUGCCUCGAUGGCGCAGGCCAAUAGCAUGUCCAAUCAGAUGUAAAGCCACUGAGUGCAGAUCUAAGGAAUUCUGAGGACGAGGAGGAGUAUCGCCUUUUGCCCAAAUCUCUCCUGAAUCAAAAGUGAGCUCUACUUGCGGACUUGGAGGAGCCGUGGCCGAAGCUACAUGAGGUCCAGGUAUUGGCAAGAAUUGAAGAACUAUGUUGGCCUGACUUUUCACCGAUGUCUGUGAAUAAAAUAUCGAUUAGAUGAGUAUUAUAUUGUUGAUGAUAAUUAUGUUACGUUAUAAAUAAAUAUGUAGAUGAGUAUUAGGAACUUACAAUUGCAAAAUUUACACACGUCUGAGCUUCCCAUGUAUCGAAAGCCUUUGUAAAUAUGUUUUUGCAGAUGUAAAAUGGAAAAGGACAAGUCGGAUCGAUGUAGAACUUCACUGUACCACACCCCCAUUUUGCACAAAAAGGAGUGAAGUCGUUAUUGACUGCACUACAGGUUUGUCCAGAUGAUGUUGUUAUGGAUGCGAGGAGGAAGAAACCAAGGAAGACAAGAUAUGACAUGGUGAAUUAAUGACUAGAAUUUAGUUUCAAGCUUUGGGAAAUUGUGUUGUGUUUAAACUCAUCAUACACACCCAUAUUUAUACAACUUUUUUACAAUGUGAAUUUAAUGAGUUGAGUAUAAAAUAUAGCCAUGUUCAAUGUAUAUUAAAACUUUUAUAAAAUUCAAAUGUAUCUGAGGAUCGUAUUAAAAAGAAUAUGUACGAUGAAUAAUUUGUGGACAUGCAUAUAUAUAUUUUCGUAACACAACUUCAAUCCGCAUAAAGUUAACGAUCUUAUCUUAAAAAAAUUGGUUGUAUUUUAAAUACAUAUUAUAAUUAUGUUUAUUAUACAAAAUUAAAUUUUAUUAUAUUUUAAGCAAAAUAAAUUACAAUUUAAUUAUAUACUAUUUUCUGAUAAAAUCGAAAAAAUAUCGCCAUUGACUGCACUACAGGUUUGUCCAGAUGAUGUUGUUAUGGAUGCGAGGAGGAAGAAACCAAGGAAGACAAGAUAUGACAUGGUGAAUUAAUGACUAGAAUUUAGUUUCAAGCUUUGGGAAAUUGUGUUGUGUUUAAACUCAUCAUACACACCCAUAUUUAUACAACUUUUUUACAAUGUGAAUUUAAUGAGUUGAGUAUAAAAUAUAGCCAUGUUCAAUGUAUAUUAAAACUUUUAUAAAAUUCAAAUGUAUCUGAGGAUCGUAUUAAAAAGAAUAUGUACGAUGAAUAAUUUGUGGACAUGCAUAUAUAUAUUUUCGUAACACAACUUCAAUCCG